CAGCAGCCACGGGAACACGUAGGGUGCGAGCGUUGUCCGGAAUUACUGGGCGUAAAGGGCUCGUAGGUGGUUUGUCGCGUCGUCUGUGAAAUUCCGGGGCUUAACUCCGGGCGUGCAGGCGAUACGGGCAUAACUUGAGUACUGCAGGGGUAACUGGAAUUCCUGGUGUAGCGGUGAAAUGCGCAGAUAUCAGGAGGAACACCGAUGGCGAAGGCAGGUUACUGGGCAGUUACUGACGCUGAGGAGCGAAAGCAUGGGUAGCGAACAGGAUUAGAUACCCCAGUAGUCCCUGUCUCUUAUA
rnacentral:rRNA from 1 species